AUGGUCGGUAAUCAACAGAUUACCGACCAUUUUGAAUCCCACCGCACCUUCUCCGCUAUGCAAUCUGGUUUCAGAGCUGGUCAUGGGUGCACCUCAGCCACGCUCAAGGUCCUAAACGAUAUCGUAACCGCCAUCAUUCUGUAUACUUCUGGCCCUUCUUUGGACACUGUAUUAACUAACCUCCAGACGAGCUUCAAUGCCAUACAACUCUCCUUCCGUGGCCUCCAACUGCUCCUAAAUACAAGUAAAACAAAAUGCAUGCUCUUCAACCGAUCGCUGCCUGCACCUGCCCGCCUGUCCUGCAUCACUACUCUGGACGGUUCUGACUUAGAAUAUGUGGACAACUACAAAUACCUAGGUGUCUGGUUAGACUGUAAACUCUCCUUCCAGACUCACAUCAAACAUCUCCAAUCCAAAGUUAAAUCAAGAAUUGGCUUCCUAUUUUGCAACAAAGCAUCCUUCACUCAUGCUGCCAAAUAUACCCUAGUAAAACUGACCAUCCUACCGAUCAUCGACUUCGGCGAUGUAAUUUACAAAAUAGCCUCCAAUACCCUACUCAACAAACUGGAUGCAGUCUAUCACAGUGCCAUCCGUUUUGUCACCAAAGCCCCAUAUACUACCCACCACUGCGACCUGUACGCUCUUGUUGGCUGGCCUUCGCUUCAUAACCGUCGCCAAACCCACUGGCUCCAGGUCAUCUACAAGACCCUGCUAGGUAAAGUCCCCGCUUAUCUCCGCUCACUGGUCACCAUAGCAGCACCCACCUGUAGCAUGCGCUCCAGCAGGUAUAUCUCUGGUCACCCCCAAAGCCAAUUCUUCCUUUGGCCGUCUCUCUUUCCAGUUCUCUUUUGCUCCUUUGCACCCCAUUAUCUCUAUUUCUACUUUGCACUUUCUUCUACUACAAAUCUACCAUUCCAGUGUUUUACUUGCUAUAUUGUAUUUACUUUGCCACCAUGGACUUUUUUGCCUUUACCUCCCUUAUCUCACCUCAUUUGCUCACAUCGUCCAUAG
rnacentral:lncRNA from 8 species